rnacentral:tRNA from 1 species
UGCGAGGUCUGCUAAUGGUAGGCAAACGCUCUCUGAAAGCGUGAAUCUUGGUUCGAUCCCAAGCCUCGCAG